rnacentral:miRNA from 12 species
GGUGAGGCGGGGGGGCGAGCCCCGAGGGGGGCUCUCGCUUCUGGCGCCAAG